AACGAACGCUGGCGGCAGGCCUAACACAUGCAAGUCGAGCGCCCGGAUUUAUCCGGGAGCGGCGCACGGGUGAGUAACGCGUGGGAACAUGCCCUGAAGUACGGAACAACCUGGGGAAACCUUGGCUAAUACCGUAUACGCCCUGAGGGGGAAAGAUUUAUCGCUUUGGGAUUGGCCCGCGUUGGAUUAGCUGUUUGGUGUGGUAACGGCGCACCAAGGCGACGAUCCAUAACUGGUCUGAGAGGAGUACCAGUCACACUGGGACUGGGACACGGGCCGAACUCCUACGGGAGGCAGCAGUGGGGAAUAUUGGACAAUGGGCGAAAGCCUGAUCCAGCCAUGCCGCGUGAGUGAAGAAGGCCUUCGGGUUGUAAAGCUCUUUCAGCGGGGACGAUGAUGACGGUACCCGCAGAAGAAGCCCCGGCUAACUUCGUGCCAGCCGCCGCCGUAA
rnacentral:rRNA from 1 species